AAUGAACGCUGGCGGCAUGCCUAAUACAUGCAAGUCGAGCGAACGGACGAGAAGCUGGCUUCUCUGAUGUUAUCGGCGGACGGGUGAGUAACACGUGUAUAACCUACCUAUAAGACUGGGAUAACUUCGGGAAACCGUAUCUAAUACCGAAUGAUAUUUUGAACCUCAUUGUUCAAGAGUUGAAUACGGUCUUUCUGUCACUUAUAGAUGGAUCAGCCCUGCAUUAGGUAGUUGGUAAGGUGACGGCUUACCAAGGCAACGAUGCAUAGCCGACCUGAGAGCGUGAUCGCACACACUGGCACUGAGACAGGGUCCCGACUCCUACGGGAGGCAGCAGCAGGGACUCUUCCGGAAUGGGCGAAAGCCUGACGGAGCAAAGCCGCGUGAGUGAUGAAGGUCUUCGGCUCGUAAAACUAUGUUAUUCGGGAAGAACAUAUGUGUAAGUACCUGUGAACAUCUUGACGGUACCUAAUCAGAAAGCCACGGCUAACUCCGUG
rnacentral:rRNA from 1 species